rnacentral:rRNA from 1 species
GUGAGGAAUAUUGGUCAAUGGGCGAGAGCCUGAACCAGCCAAGUCGCGUGAAGGAAGAAGGAUCUAUGGUUCGUAAACUUCUUUUGCAGGGGAAUAAAGUGCGGGACGUGUCCUGUUUUGUAUGUACCCUGAGAAUAAGGAUCGGCUAACUCCGUGCCAGCAGCCGCGGUAAUACGGAGGAUCCGAGCGUUAUCCGGAUUUAUUGGGUUGAAAGGGUGCGUAGGUGGUUUGAUAAGUCAGCGGUGAAAGUUUGCAGCUUAACUGUAAAAAUGCCGUUGAAACUGUCGGACUUGAGUGUAAAUGAGGUAGGCGGAAUGCGUGGUGUAGCGGUGAAAUGCAUAGAUAUCACGCAGAACUCCGAUUGCGAAGGCAGCUUACUAAGCUACAACUGACACUGAAGCACGAAAGCGUGGGGAUCAAACAGGAUUAGAUACCCUAGUAGUCC